rnacentral:snRNA from 1 species
GUGCUCUCUUCGGCAGCACAAGAGAGCAGCACAUAUACUAAAAUUGGAACUAUAUAGAGAAGAUUAGCAUGGCCCCUGCACAAGGAUGACAAGCAAAUUCAUGAAGUGUUCCAUAUUUAG